UGUUCUGUUAACGUAGUAAGAGGCUCUGGCGCUCAGAGUACCAAUUAGGACUAGGCACCAGAAGCAGUGUUCCCGCUGUGCAGUGGUGUGUCUGAGGCUUGAUUAGCUGCAACAGGCGGGAUUGAGGCCUCCGUGCCUCCCAGAUUCCGUUUUGCUUACAGACUUCAACUCAGCCUCACCUGUUUAGCCUUCAUCCUUGGGUCCAGGCGUCUGUCAGGUCCUGCAGCCCAGGUUGCAGCGUCCAGAACCGAUAUGAACUUUGAGGACCUGGCCAUUGCCUUCUCUCAGGAGGAGUGGAGGCUUCUUGAUGAGGAUCAGAGACUUCUGUACUGCGAAGAGAUGCUGGAAGUUUUUGCACUUCUAUCAUCUGUAGGUUGUUGGCAUAAAAUGGAUGAGGAGAAGAUGCCUCCUGAGCAGAGUGUAUCUGUAAGAGGAGAGCCACAGGUCAGGUCUUGUAAGACAGCUCCAGCAGCCCAGAAGACUUGUCUGUGUCGGUCCUAAGCCCAUAGCCCCGUGACGGUGUCACUCACAAAGUGACCAAUGCGUGGAGUAGGAAUCUGGCAGAGGGGCAGCGGCGAGCAACCUCGAGGAGUGGACGGCUUUCGUGAUCUGUUACAGGUGCCUUGCUCUCCACAUGCCUCACAUACAGUGGACUGUCAGAAAGUCCUGGCCUCUCCCCCUGCAAAUCCUCAGUUAUUCUUGAUAGAUCCUCCCUCCCUCCAACUGGUGGGCGGAGUAAUGACAUCACUGGAGUCUGCCGCCAAGACAUUGAACCACCAAUCAGCGCGUGCCGAGUGCCCUGGGACCCACCUUUUCCCGUUCCUCCCCUAAAAAGGCUCUCCACCACUCCACGUGUUGUUCUCCCAGGCUGUUCUCUCUCGUCUCUCAGUCUGCGAGUCAGCCCAGUUGGGUCCCUCUUUCUUCUACUCCCCCUCCUCUAAUCCUGGUUUCUCUACCUCCUCCGUAAUGAAUCUC